AUAAAUUGACUUCCUGUGCCUGACCUGCAGGUGGCGGCCAUUCUGUUUCCUGGCCAUGGCUUCACUAAUUUAGGCCUGCUGGGCUCACGGGAAGCCCUUCAAAAAACGACUCCUUUCAGAUUAACAUGUAAAAUUUAAUUACGGAGGUCCAGGCUGAGAUGAUGUCUAAAGCCAUUUACUAAGCCCGGCGGCCUCCCCGUCCUGGGGCUAAGGAGGCCGAAGCAGAGCUUUGAUCAUUAACCGCUGAGAAAAUCUCAGCUUGCAUAUUAAGAGAAGUGGCAGCGCUUUUAACCCCUUUGGGAUGAGGACAGCGGAGAUGGAGACAGCCAAACGGAUGUAGAACCUCCUAUGAACUUCAAGAGAACAUUUCCGGGAGGAGCAGGUUGUGGCUUCCUAGGAGACCUUGGGCCUGGCUUUGCCUAUAAUCACAUUUCCCCUCCCGGGAAGGAGGACUGGGGGGGGGGGGGGGGGGGGCCGACAGGGAGGAGGGGCUUAAACUCUACGGGCACAAACUUCUGGGACUUCUACCACCUUUGAAGCCUGUUGUGAAGCUGUCUUUCCACACAGGGCCCAGCUCUGGUUUUAAUGAUCAGAAGGCCUGAAAGGGCUGUCUUCUCACCCGGAUGGGCCCUUGGCAGACUCCUGGCCUGCCUUCCACAGCUCUCU
rnacentral:lncRNA from 1 species